rnacentral:misc_RNA from 1 species
UAAUAAGUGUUUUAUGGCACUUUUUUAAAUCCAUAUCCACCUUGUGUGCAAUGUCAGUCGAUCUUCUUCAUUUUUGGAGAUCGACCAAACAUCAACCUUUAUUUUUUAACCUCUUUGUCUGAAAAAAUAUUAUGAAUAAACAAUUCAAAAUA